rnacentral:rRNA from 1 species
CCUACGGGAGGCAGCAGUGGGGAAUAUUGCACAAUGGGCGAAAGCCUGAUGCAGCAACGCCGCGUGAGCGAUGAAGGCCCUCGGGUCGUAAAGCUCUUUCCUCAGGGAAGAUAAUGACGGUGCUUGAGGAUGAAUCAGCGGCUAACUACGUGCCCGCAGCCGCGGUAGUACGUAGGGGGCUAGCGUUAUCCGGAGUUCCUGGGCGAAAGGGGUGCGUAGGUGGGGUCUUAAGUCAAAGGUGAAAGGCUACGGCUAAACCGUAGUAAGCCUUUGAAACUGGGAAACUUGAGUGCAGGAGAGGAGAGUGGAAUUCCUAGUGUAGCGGUGAAAUGCGUAGAUAUUAGGAGGAACACCAGUUGCGAAGGCGGCUCUCUGGACUGUAACUGACACUGAGGCACGAAAGCGUGGGGAGCAAACAGGAUUAGAUACCCGAGUAGUC